GACGAACGCUGGCGGCGCGCCUAACACAUGCAAGUCGAACGAGUGAGAGAGAGCUUGCUUUCUCGAGCGAGUGGCGAACGGGUGAGUAACGCGUGAGGAACCUGCCUCAAAGAGGGGGACAACAGUUGGAAACGACUGCUAAUACCGCAUAAGCCCACGGGUCGGCAUCGACCAGAGGGAAAAGGAGCAAUCCGCUUUGAGAUGGCCUCGCGUCCGAUUAGCUAGUUGGUGAGGUAACGGCCCACCAAGGCAACGAUCGGUAGCCGGACUGAGAGGUUGAACGGCCACAUUGGGACUGAGACACGGCCCAGACUCCUACGGGAGGCAGCAGUGGGGAAUAUUGCACAAUGGGGGAAACCCUGAUGCAGCGACGCCGCGUGGAGGAAGAAGGUCUUCGGAUUGUAAACUCCUGUUGUUGAGGAAGAUAAUGACGGUACUCAACAAGGAAGUGACGGCUAACUACGUGCCAGCAGCCGCGGUAAAACGUAGGUCACAAGCGUUGUCCGGAAUUACUGGGUGUAAAGGGAGCGCAGGCGGGAAGACAAGUUGGAAGUGAAAUCUAUGGGCUCAACCCAUAAACUGCUUUCAAAACUGUUUUUCUUGAGUAGUGCAGAGGUAGGCGGAAUUCCCGGUGUAGCGGUGGAAUGCGUAGAUAUCGGGAGGAACACCAGUGGCGAAGGCGGCCUACUGGGCACCAACUGACGCUGAGGCUCGAAAGUGUGGGUAGCAAACAGGAUUAGAUACCCUGGUAGUCCACACCGUAAACGAUGAUUACUAGGUGUUGGAGGAUUGACCCCUUCAGUGCCGCAGUUAACACAAUAAGUAAUCCACCUGGGGAGUACGACCGCAAGGUUGAAACUCAAAGGAAUUGACGGGGGCCCGCACAAGCAGUGGAGUAUGUGGUUUAAUUCGACGCAACGCGAAGAACCUUACCAAGUCUUGACAUCCCUUGACGAACAUAGAAAUAUGUUUUCUCUUCGGAGCAAGGAGACAGGUGGUGCAUGGUUGUCGUCAGCUCGUGUCGUGAGAUGUUGGGUUAAGUCCCGCAACGAGCGCAACCCUUACUGUCAGUUACUACGCAAGAGGACUCUGGCAGGACUGCCGUUGACAAAACGGAGGAAGGUGGGGAUGACGUCAAAUCAUCAUGCCCUUUAUGACUUGGGCUACACACGUACUACAAUGGCGUUAAACAAAGAGAAGCAAGACCGCGAGGUGGAGCAAAACUCAGAAACAACGUCCCAGUUCGGACUGCAGGCUGCAACUCGCCUGCACGAAGUCGGAAUUGCUAGUAAUCGUGGAUCAGCAUGCCACGGUGAAUACGUUCCCGGGCCUUGCACA
rnacentral:rRNA from 1 species